rnacentral:rRNA from 1 species
GGGAGUACCGNCCGCNAGGCUGNAAACUCCAAANGGAAUNGAACGGGGACCCCGCCACNAAGCGGUGGAGCCAUNGUGGUUUNAUUNGACGCAAACGCGACAGAAACCUUANCCUGGGNNUAAAUCGUAGGUGUAAGGCCCGAGAGAUCGGUCCCCCCGGGCAACCNGGCGCAUGCGAAGGUGCUGCAUGNCUGUCGUCAGCUNCGUGUUCGUGGAGAUGUUUGGGUUAAGUCCCCGCAAACGAGGGCAACCCUUACCACUAGUNNCCAGCAUUUAGUUGGGCACUCUAGCGGAACUGCCGGUGAUAAACCGGAGGAAGGUGGGGAUGACGUCAAGUCAUCAUGGCCUCUAUGUCCAGGGCUACACACGUGCUACAAUGGCCGGUACAAACCGCUGCAAACUCGCCGAGAGGGAGCCAAUCGGAAAAAGCCGGUCUCAGUUCGGAUUGGAGUCUGCAACUCGACUCCAUGAAGUUGGAAUCGCUAGUAAUCGCAGAUCAGCACGCUGCGGUGAAUACGUUCCCGGGUCUUGUACACACCGCCCGUCACAUCACGAAAGUGGGCUGUANCUAGAAGUGGCUGCGCUAACCGCAAGGAGGCAGGUCACGACGGUAUGGUUCAUGAUUGGGGUGAAGUCGUAACCAAGGUACC